rnacentral:lncRNA from 1 species
GCCUCCAGUACCUAGGAUGUCUUUGGCCUUUGGUACUCCACCCCUUUAAGUUCUUCUUCCCAAGCCUGAGAGCAAUCCUUUGAACCUAAUAUGGCUCUCAUCAAGUUUCUGAAGAAAUUUCUCCAAGUGACCUCAGGAGAGGAGGCUGUCAAAAUUUUAACCUAAAGCUUGAAACAUGAUCUUUAUGGGGAGAAAUGAGAAACCCAUUAAGGAAUGGGGGGGGUCACAGUAUAGAUGAGCAAGGUAUCCUGCACGUGGACCCAGCAGGCCAGUCAUAACUUAGGAAUGUAUUGCCUCAUUUAUCCCCUGACCAGGACUGCACUGGGACCUAUUGCAUAAGAUGACAGGAUGGUCACUGAUUGCCGGGUGACUAGGGUUCUUAGCCUCAUGAAAAAAAGCAGAGAGCAAUACAGCAUUUGGCACACCACUCGGAGGACAAAGAACAGGUCCUGGUGAGCUCAUGCAUGCCCCAAGAGCACCCAAGAACUUGAUAGAAAUAGGUAACAUUUAUGAUGACCAUCUGUUGAUUGUGAAGCCAGGAGGUACAGCGACGGGUCGAACAGGAAGUGCAUGCAUGAUUGUAAUAAAUCAAGACGCGUGUCUAUCAAAUGCCUCAGACACGCACAGGCACGGAAGUGACACUCGAUCCACAAGUAUUGAAGGAACGAAAGAAGCAAGCAGUCAAUAAGCCAGACUUCAGAGGAUUUUAAGAUGCUUCUACAGAACCAUUGAAAUUUAAGGUGGGUUUGCUCUCAUUCAUUCACUCAAGAGAGCAUUGCUUUUCUGUGUGUUGAACGCCGGUUUGGUCCUUGGCAGAGAUACUCUGAGAAUGCAAAGAUGAAGCGUGUAUUGAUCGGUGGUGGUGGUGCAGUGUGAUGAGUGAUACGCAGCUAAAGAUUUUGAUGUUUUCCGCUCAGCAGGUACGAGCCACUGCAAAGCAGAUUCCCUGAGGGCAGGAGAAUUCUCUGGUUUUCUCUACCUUGAAAUAGCUAGAAUAACUGGUAAGCAUUCCGCAGUGUUUGAGUAAAUAAUAGGGGCUGCAAAGGCAGACAGCUGUGGUGCUGAAGAUUCUACCUGAACACAUAGGGCCUUUGGUGCUGAUGGAAGAACCAUCAAUCCAAGAAGGAUGUAGGAAAGUAGCUAUUGUGGAAGUAAUAGGACAACGGAGCAGCGAGCUCUUCUCCCAUCAACUGGAGAACUGCCAAAGGGAUCAGUGUUAUUCUUUUGCUUAAAUUAGAAAUAAAGAAGAGGCGCAGGAUGAGACA